UACGUAGGGUGCAAGCGUUAAUCGGAAUUACUGGGCGUAAAGCGUGCGCAGGCGGUUGUGCAAGACAGAUGUGAAAUCCCCGGGCUCAACCUGGGAAUGGCAUUUGUGACUGCACGGCUAGAGUGUGUCAGAGGGGGGUAGAAUUCCACGUGUAGCAGUGAAAUGCGUAGAUAUGUGGAGGAAUACCGAUGGCGAAGGCAGCCCCCCUGGGAUAACACUGACGCUCAUGCACGAAAAGCGUGGGGAGCAAACAGG
rnacentral:rRNA from 1 species